AAUAGAUACCCGGGUAGUCCACCCCGUAAACGUUGGGAACUAGUUGUGGGGUCCAUUCCACGGAUUCCGUGACGCAGCUAACGCAUUAAGUUCCCCGCCUGGGGAGUACGGCCGCAAGGCUAAAACUCAAAGGAAUUGACGGGGACCCGCACAAGCGGCGGAGCAUGCGGAUUAAUUCGAUGCAACGCGAAGAACCUUACCAAGGCUUGACAUAUACGAGAACGGGCCAGAAAUGGUCAACUCUUUGGACACUCGUAAACAGGUGGUGCAUGGUUGUCGUCAGCUCGUGUCGUGAGAUGUUGGGUUAAGUCCCGCAACGAGCGCAACCCUCGUUCUAUGUUGCCAGCACGUAAUGGUGGGAACUCAUGGGAUACUGCCGGGGUCAACUCGGAGGAAGGUGGGGAUGACGUCAAAGUCAUCAUGCCCCUUAUGUCUUGGGCUUCACGCAUGCUACAAUGGCCGGUACAAAGGGCUGCAAUACCGCGAGGCGGAGCGAAUCCCAAAAAGCCGGUCCAGUUCGGAUUGAGGUCUGCAACUCGACUC
rnacentral:rRNA from 1 species